rnacentral:tRNA from 1 species
GGGGGCAUAGCUCAGUUGGUAGAGCGUGUGGUUCGCAAUCACAAGGUCAGGGGUUCGACCCCCCUUGUCUCCAC